GAUGAACGCUGGCGGCGUGCCUAAUACAUGCAAGUCGAGCGAACGGACGAGAAGCUUGCUUCUCUGAUGUUAGCGGCGGACGGGUGAGUAACACGUGGAUAACCUACCUAUAAGACUGGGAUAACUUCGAGAAACCGGAGCUAAUACCGGAUAAUAUUUUGAACCGCAUGGUUCAAAAGUGAAAGACGGUCUUGCUGUCACUUAUAGAUGGAUCCGCGCUGCAUUAGCUAGUUGGUAAGGUAACGGCUUACCAAGGCAACGAUGCAUAGCCGACCUGAGAGGGUGAUCGGCCACACGGGAACUGAGACACGGUCCAGACUCCUACGGGAGGCAGCAGUAGGGAAUCUUCCGCAAUGGGCGAAAGCCUGACGGAGCAACGCCGCGUGAGUGAUGAAGGUCUUCGGAUCGUAAAACUCUGUUAUUAGGGAAGAACAUAUGUGUAAGUAACUGUGCACAUCUUGACGGUACCUAAUCAGAAAGCCACGGCUAACUACGUG
rnacentral:rRNA from 1 species